rnacentral:tRNA from 1 species
AGCGACAGCCUUGAAAAUCCGGCUCAUAACCCGAAGGUCGUCGGUUCGAAUCCGGCCCCCGCUACCA